GGAGUUAGCCGGUGCUUCUUCUGUGAGUGAUGUCCUUCCUGCCGGCUAUUAACCCGCAGGCCUUCUUCCUCACUGAAAGUGCUUUACAACCCGAAGGCCUUCUUCACACACGCGGCAUGGCUGGAUCAGGGUUGCCCCCAUUGUCCAAUAUUCCCCACUGCUGCCUCCCGUAGGAGUCUGGGCCGUGUCUCAGUCCCAGUGUGGCUGAUCAUCCUCUCAGACCAGCUACGGAUCGUCGCCUUGGUGAGCCGUUACCUCACCAACCAGCUAAUCCGACAUAGGCUCAUCCGAUAGCGCGAGGCCCGAAGGUCCCCCGCUUUCCCCCGUAGGGCGUAUGCGGUAUUAGCCUGGGUUUCCCCAGGUUAUCCCCCACUACCGGGCAGAUUCCUAUGCAUUACUCACCCGUCCGCCGCUCGCCACCAGGGAGCAAGCUCCCCGUGCUGCCGCUCGACUUGCAUGUGUUAGGCCUGCCGCCAGCGUUCAAUCUGAGCAUAAUACAACUCUGA
rnacentral:rRNA from 1 species